GAUGAAGAACGUAGUGAAAUGCGAUAAGUAAUGUGAAUUGCAGAAUUCAGUGAAUCAUCGAAUCUUUGAACGCACAUUGCGCCCGCUAGUAUUCUGGCGGGCAUGCCUGUCCGAGCGUCAUUUCAACCCUCAAGCCCCCGGGCUUGGUGUUGGGGAUCGGCGAGCCUCCGCGCCCGCCGUCCCCUAAAUCUAGUGGCGGUCUCGCUGUAGCUUCCUCUGCGUAGUAGCACACCUCGCACUGGGAAACAGCGCGGCCACGCCGUUAAACCCCCAACUUCUGAACGUUUGACCUCGGAUCAGGUAGGAAUACCCGCUGAACUUAAGCAUAUCAAUAACGGAGGA
rnacentral:misc_RNA from 1 species